AUUGAACGCUGGCGGCAUGCCUUACACAUGCAAGUCGAACGGCAGCGGGUCCUUCGGGAUGCCGGCGAGUGGCGAACGGGUGAGUAAAGCAUCGGAACGUACCGUGUAGUGGGGGAUAACGUAGCGAAAGUUACGCUAAUACCGCAUACGCUGUGAGCAGGAAAGCGGGGGAUCGCAAGACCUCGCGCUAUACGAGCGGCCGAUGUCAGAUUAGCUAGUUGGUGAGGUAAAGGCUCACCAAGGCGACGAUCUGUAGCGGGUCUGAGAGGAUGAUCCGCCACACUGGGACUGAGACACGGCCCAGACUCCUACGGGAGGCAGCAGUGGGGAAUUUUGGACAAUGGGGGCAACCCUGAUCCAGCCAUGCCGCGUGAGUGAAGAAGGCCUUCGGGUUGUAAAGCUCUUUCGGACGGGAAGAAAUCGCACGGGCUAAUACUCUGUGUGGAUGACGGUACCGUAAUAAGAAGCACCGGCUAACUACGUGCCAGCAGCCGCCGUAA
rnacentral:rRNA from 1 species